CCAUUGUCCGUUAUUUUUAACCAAAUGUUAAGAAAUAUAUACACAAAAGUAAUCAAUAUUUACGAAAUAUUGAAACACAUUUUUCAAUUUGCUCUGUUUGAAUCAGUAGUUCUUGAAAAAACGCAUACACGCGCAUAAUCUUCAUGUAGAUCCGCUGCAAAAUCAUCUAGAGAUGAGCCUGCAUUAUUAUUUUAUAUUAGGGAGGGGAGGGACAACAGUAUAUUAGCAAAAACAUGAAAAAUAUGAAGGAUGCUGCCUUUCGUUUCCAUGGCAACCAAGCUAAAAAUUAUAGUGAGGUUGUUUAAGACAGUUCCUGAGAGAACAAUUUCUUUAAUUCAACCAAAUAAAUACUUUCACAACAUCAAUUACAUGCCACACUAACUAUUUAGCUCAAAAAAUGAAAAUCGAUUUUUUCGAGUGGUUUAGGUAGACCCCCACCUUAAGUGAGGGACUGGGUACAAGCUUUGCUAGUAAACAAGAAACAUGGCUGCUCGAAGGAGCCUAAAUUUGUAUUUAGACUUGUCGUUUUCAACUAUAAAUAUAACUUAAUGGCGAUAAGCAAGACUCAUAAAAAGGCAAAGUUUUAAACGAUUUUGGAACCGGUUUGGCGCAGAAUAACCUGGGAUAUGUUAAGCUAUACGGACAGUUUGAACAUCGCUAAAUACAUCGCGAAGUCCGCAGUUUACAUCGCGCGAAAGAAUGUUGGUCUAUUCGGCGGAGUUUUACCUCAUGUAUGGCAAGAUUACUAUAGAUUACACUAUCAAAUACUUCGAAUUUCUAGUGAAAAUACACCAAUCACGGGAACCACUUAGACGUGUAGAAAUGCUAGCGAUUUUGGUUUACAAAUACUGCUUGUUCGUGCUGUUGUUAUUAUCGAAGUCCGCAACCAUGAGAUAUCUAAACAAAGUAGGUUAAAAUUUGACAUUUUUGUAAAUCCCUGUAUAGUUUAUAGUAAUAUUUAGUCGCCAUAUUGGGGCAAUGUGCGCAUGUCCGUCUCCAUCUUGUCCCAUAUUUCUGCUAAUGUAUUUUAUAUAAAUUAAAACGUAAAUUUAUCAAACCUUUAUUUUAUUAAUCUAGAGCUUGAAAUAUCCCGGUCACAAUGCGCGAUUGCAUGUCUCAUCCUCUUUGACCGCGCUUUACUAUUUUUAUUAUCUAUUUAAAAAUGAGCACAACUUUUUAAUUGUAAAAUAGCGAUCCUAUCCCUAAUUUAAUUGGCAUAAUUAAAAUAGUAAGCAUGAUUGUAGUUAUUUAGUACCAUAUUAAUAUUAGACCUACAAGUGAAGAGAUACGAUAAGACUCACAGUAAAAGAUCUAGACAGUGUAUAUAUUAUAAAAUAUUGUUAUCAAUAGUUAUGAAACUAUACGUUGUAAAUAUGUAAUAAAUAUAAUGUAAGAAUAUACUGGC